UAGGGAAUCUUCCACAAUGGGCGAAAGCCUGAUGGAGCAACGCCGCGUGUGUGAUGAAGGGUUUCGGCUCGUAAAACACUGUUGAAAGAGAAGAAUGACAUUGAGAGUAACUGUUCAAUGUGUGACGGUAUCUUACCAGAAAGGAACGGCUAAAUACGUGCCAC
rnacentral:rRNA from 1 species